rnacentral:rRNA from 1 species
CUACGGGAGGCAGCAGUGGGGAAUCUUAGACAAUGGGGGAAACCCUGAUCUAGCCAUGCCGCGUGGACGAUGAAGGCCUUAGGGUUGUAAAGUCCUUUCAGCAGGGAAAAUAAUGAUGGUACCUGCAGAAGAAGCCCCGGCUAACUCCGUGCCAGCAGCCGCGGUAAUACGGAGGGGGCUAGCGUUAUUCGGAAUUACUGGGCGUAAAGCGCGCGUAGGCGGUAAAUCAAGUUGGAAGUGAAAGCCCAAGGCUUAACCUUGGAAUUGCUUUCAAGACUGAUUAACUAGAGUUUAGUAGAGGAUGGUGGAAUUCCUAGUGUAGAGGUGAAAUUCUUAGAUAUUAGGAGGAACACCGGUGGCGAAGGCGGCCAUCUGGGCUAAAACUGACGCUGAGGCGCGAAAGCGUGGGGAGCAAACAGGAUUAGAAACCCGAGUAGUCC